rnacentral:lncRNA from 1 species
ACGAAAAUUUCAAAUUUUUUUCACACAAGUUAGGUAAAUAUAACAUAAUAGCAUAAACUCACACAAAGCUUUGUAAUAAAGAAAAUCCUAUAAUGUGUUUGACCUUUACUGGUAUAGAAGUACAUCACCUCAAAAUCACUUGCUUAACUAAAAAGAGUCCUUUACUAUUAUUUAAUUAAGCAUGACACAUAUCUUGGUGGUUUAGAAUGUGCAUUCUGUCUACUCUGCAAUUUGAUGUAAUUGUCUACAUUUGUAAAAGAUUGAAGAAAGCACAUGGAUGUUGCUGGAUCAAGGUUCAACUCUAUCCUUUGGCAAAUUCUGUCAACUCUGCAAAGUGAGGGGUCUUCAAAGCAGAGAUCAUUGUCCACUCCAUUCAUGAAGCACUAACUUGGUCUUCAUGCAAACAAACAAAGACAGGUAUAAGUAUAUAUAUAUAUAUAUAUAUAGAGAGAGAGAGAGAGAGGGAGAACUAAGUUGAAGGUGUGUUGUCAUUUGCUAUAGUUCUCAGAUUUGUAUUUUCAUACAAAUAGUAAUCUGUUGGCAGAUUUUAUGGAAAUUGCGUGUGGCACUUUUGGGGUCACAUAUUGUACACACUCAAACAACAUGAAUAUCCUUAAAAAAGAGGGUUAGAUAGAUGGUCCAAAUCCUUGGGAAAUGCAUGUGACCCCCCUGCCCCCCACAUUCAAUAUUGAUGGUAAUCCUUGACUUUGGAAACUCUAACUUAAUGGUGGUUUGCCCAGCAUGAGAACCUGCAUGAUCUGCAAAAGCGACAUCAAUAAUUGGUUAUUAAUAGCAACAUUUUAAAUGAAAAGAAAGAGUUUGACAAAUUAAAAAAACCUUUUAAUAAAUUGAAUUAUGCAACUGAAUAUACAUAACACACUGAAGUAAAAACUUAAAAUAUGAUGUAUUUAAUAAAGAAAGUUUUAAAAUACCAUAUACACACAGCUUUCU